AUUUUUUUUCCUGCAUCAGAACUAUAUUUUUAAUAAGCUGAUGCAAACUGAGUUUUGCUUUCUCUAGAGCUAUGGGGUUCCUUCUGCUAAAUUAAGCAGUAAAUUAAGCAGUAAGUAUGCCUUCACAUACUAGUUGUUGCUGUUAUUCCAUGCAUGGAUUGAAACUUAAAGGGAAACUGUGCCUUAAACAGAAUAUUCAUUUUCUACAGAGUUAAAUUUCCUCUUUACAGAAUGAUCCAACUCCUUCCACAAAUAUUAAAAACAUGACUUAGCAGUUGUUCCUCUCUACACCAUUUGUAUCCUUGUCACCUUAUUUAGUGCACACUAUGUUUAGGCCAAAUGAAAUGUUAUGAUACUUUCUUUAUGACAUUGUCUCUCUUACUCUUAUAUUAAUUGCCUAUCACAGUUAAACGUUUCUUGUCAAGAAAAACACUUACAGCAACAUAUACUUUUUUAUUUCACAUCCAUUGGGGUCAUAAAACUUUUGUGGCUAAAAAUUCACAGUUUUUUGUCACUGUUAUUUAUAAUUGCAUUCCUUCCUUCCUUCCUCAGAGUCAUAAAUGUAUUGUACAUUUUGUAAUCUGAAGGUGAAAGAACCCUAUUAACUCCUGAGAAUAACUUCACUAAUUAGUUCUGCUUUGCAAGUCAGGAAAAAAAUGAUGGUUUGGCUGAAUCCAGGAAGAAAGGUAGGAAGAAGACAGCACCUAUUAACUCAUUAAAAUUCACUUUUUAAGAAAGCUAUGUAUCUUACUUAUUUUGUUAUAUGUCUGCAUGCAAUUUGUAACACAUAUCUAGGAACCAAGUUUGUAAGAGUCACUAUAAACCAGGUACUCACAUUCUUACUGAGGAUUCUCAAGCUUAACAGUAUUUCUGUACUUCCAUUCCAGGUGAAUGAAAUUGUAAUCUGACUGGAGAUACUAAAGUAAAUUAAUCUUAUCAACUGUGUCCUGUGCAUCAUGAAGAAGAAGCACAUUUCCAAGAAACUAACAUCAGUGCCCUGUGAGAGUACUCAAGUUUCUAGGUAUAGUGGUCCAUACUUGGGCAAGUGUAUGCUAGUUAUCCUGGAACCGUUGAAGAAUGAAGGGAGGAAUAAGGCCUAGAGGAACAUGUGAAAGGAAGAUUUCUUGAGACUGUUGCCCUACCAGCUGCUACAUUAUCUGAUUUUGAAUUUUCUGUUUGCCUUCUAUUGUAAACACUUCAUAGACAAUUCCAAAUUUGCCCCCAAACUAUUUACUUUAGUUUUUACAUAAGUCAUCAUCAUUUAAUCCAGCUAUAUUUUGCACUUAUAUUGAACUAUGAUUAUUUUUCUUUUCCAGUUUAUAUUUCAGAUCAUAGCUGCUUCAUCUGUUUGUUAUUUUAAUAAUAAUGUCAAAGUGCUAUUACACAAUUUUAAAUUCAGCAACAUUUUCUCCAGAUUUUAUCUGCAUUUGACUACCUGAAGCAAUCAACUUCAGGAGUAAAAAAAUAUUUAGUUUAAGAAAUCAUGUGGUAUUUCCACAUUUCUUAGUAUUGCUCAGUAUGCAGUAACAGAAGACAAUAGUUUUCUUAUUUAUUUAUUUUUUCUAGAUAUUUCUGAUCUGUGAAAUGAGCAGACAACACAUCAGUAUUGUGGAAAAAUAAACAUUAUCAGUUUUAA